UACAGAGGGUGCGAGCGUUGUUCGGAAUUAUUGGGCGUAAAGGGCGCGUAGGCGGUGCGGUAAGUCACCUGUGAAAUCUCCUGGCUCAACUGGGAGCUUGCAGGCGAAACUGCCGUGCUGGAGUGUGGGAGAGGUGCGUGGAAUUCCUGGUGUAGCGGUGAAAUGCGUAGAUAUCAGGAGGAACACCAGUAGCGAAGGCGACACUCUGGGCCGGUACUGACGCUGAGGAGCGAAAGCGUGGGGAGCAAACAGG
rnacentral:rRNA from 1 species